UACAGAGGGUGCAAGCGUUAAUCGGAAUUACUGGGCGUAAAGGGUGCGUAGGUGGUUAGAUAAGUCAGGUGUGAAAUCCCCGGGCUCAACCUGGGAACUGCGCUUGAUACUGUCUGACUAGAGUUUGGUAGAGGGUAGUGGAAUUCCGGGUGUAGCGGUGAAAUGCGUAGAUAUCCGGAGGAACACCAGUGGCGAAGGCGGCUACCUGGACCAAAACUGACACUGAGGCACGAAAGCGUGGGUAGCAAACAGG
rnacentral:rRNA from 1 species